UUAGUUAAGUUAGAAAGGGCGCACGGUGGAUGCCUUGGCACUAGGAGCCGAUGAAGGACGGGAUUAACACCGAUAUGCUUUGGGGAGCUGUAAGUAAGCUUUGAUCCAGAGAUUUCC
rnacentral:rRNA from 1 species